UACGAAGGGGGCUAGCGUUGCUCGGAAUCACUGGGCGUAAAGCGCACGUAGGCGGCUUUUUAAGUCAGAGGUGAAAUCCUGGAGCUCAACUCCAGAACUGCCCUUGAUACUGGAGAGCUUGAGUCCGGGAGAGGUGAGUGGAACUGCGAGUGUAGAGGUGAAAUUCGUAGAUAUUCGCAAGAACACCAGUGGCGAAGGCGGCUCACUGGCCCGGUACUGACGCUGAGGUGCGAAAGCGUGGGGAGCAAACAGG
rnacentral:rRNA from 1 species